rnacentral:lncRNA from 1 species
CUUUCUGAAAGAAAAUACAACAAGAAGUAAAGGUUACUCCGAGGACUGCGGACGUGGAGCAGGUAUACCUUGAAGUCUCCAAAGGUAGCUACUCAAUCAACUCUAGAGUCCAGCACGGGCAGACAUACCUGGAUUUGCACAAAAAUAUUUGUAUACCAUAGUAUGAGUACACCACAACGGUACCCGGUAAACAUCGAGCCUAACCUCGCUAGAGUAGUGACGAGGCCAGGUGAAGACAUAUACUAGGAUAUCAAUAAACAAUAUGAAAAUGUAAUAAGGAUAAAUAAUGAAAAGUAGAGAAACAACUGAUACGAACCAGUUAACAACAUGAACUAAUAUCAGAAUUGUAAGAGCGGAAAUAACAUAAGGAAAUCAGUUAAAGAGAACCACAAUGAUCAUAUACGGACAAUAACUAACAAAAUCAAGGAAGAACAAAACAACAAGAAUCACAAUGAUGUACCACCUCGUGUACAAUAAGAAUCACCACCGAGGUACCGCCUCAUGUAUAUAUAUACAGAAUCAUAACCGAGGUACUGCCUCGUAUUCACAAUCUCAAUCACAAUCUUUCCUUAUGCCGCCGCGUGAGCCUUACAUUUGGAAUAGGUUUUGAAAACAGUUUUCCCGAAAUAACUACACACACUUUAGCCCACCUUAUGAUAUCGCGUGGCUUUACGUAGUUCCCCUACAAGAAACACGCACAUAGGUCCCACCUUAUACCGCCGCAUGCAUAGCAACACCAAGCUUUAUACUGCCGCAUGGGAGUCAAUAUCACAUCACAAUAGCAACUCGCACCACAAGUGCCCAUAUAUCACAACUUGCGAACAAAGAAUAUCAAUAUUUCCACAUCUAUAGCCCACGGCUCCACCAUAACGUGUACAAGAAUAUAAACAACAACAAUAAAUGUAAAAAUGCUCAACAAGAAAGAUGUUUCAACAAUAACAAUUUCGCCUAAACGUGAUAAUGACUUUCACAACUUCAACACCAAUAACUCAACAAUGAGACAUAAUGUAUAACCACGUUAUUAAAUAAGAAUAACUCACAAGGGAAGAGAUAACGUGUAACAAUGGCUUCAAAUAAUGGAAAUCAACAAGGAAGGAGAUAACAUGAACAAUAACUUCAAGUAUUGAUAAUCAAUAAUGGAAGAGAUAACACGAACAAUAACUUCAAAUAACAAUAUUCAACAAUGAAAGAGAGAACAUGUAACAAUAAUAGAGGCAACAAGUUCAACUAAAGCAUGAGAGCAAUUUAUCAAUUAGGAUGUAGAACAAGUAUUAACGAAAUCAUUUAAGGUAUGUAAGGAUAGACUAACUCAAGUAGGAAUAGAUUGACUAUGCAAAUUUAGAACAUGAUACUACAAUUCAAUUAAAGCAUGAAAAAAGUUUAAGUAGCCUAAACCGGUCAAAUACCACAUACAACCCCUGUACCCACCCGUCACCUUGCGUACAUGACUUUCACAAAGCACAAUUGAAUCAAUCAAUACCAAUCCUAAGGGACAGUUCCCCCACACAAAGUUAAGCAAGACACUUACCUCAACUAGGCCAAUUCAACACUCGAAAAUAGCGUUUUCCUUAAAAUUCAAUUCCACACGGCUCAGAUAUAACCCAAAUCGACUUAGUAUCAUCAAACAAUGCUAGGGAAAUCAAUUGCAUUAUAUAAAGCUAAGAUCUUUACACUUUUCCCAAAAAGUCAACAAAAACUAACCCGGGGCCCGCCCAGUCAAAACUCGGGUCUAAUGGUAGAUUUCGACUACCCAUGACUCCACGAGUUCAUAUAUGUGAUUAGUUUCAAAAUCUGAGUCCAAAUCGACUCUCAACACUCAAUUUCUUAUUUUUCAAACACUUGACAAAGUUUCACAAAUUUUCACUUAGAUUCACAUGAUUUUGAUGUUAAAAUCUAAGCUACGUUGAUGGAAUAUGAUCAUAAAUAGAUUAUAAUCACUUACCCAAAGUUUGUAGGUGAAAAUCCCCUCUCCAAAUCGCCUCCUACCGAGUCUAGGUUCAAAAUGAGAGAAUAAGAGAAAAAAUCCCGACUUUCAGCCCUUAUGUUCAGCUGCAGUAAUCGCAAUUGCGAAGAAAAUCUCGCAUAUGCGGCACUGACAAGCCUCGAAAGCUCUUCGCAAAUGCGAAGAUGGGUUCGCAAUUGCGAACCAUGCUGCCCUCGCAAAGGGACAUAUUUGUCGCAAAAUUGAACUAACCUCUACCUGAAUCUACUUAGCAAUUGCGAGCCAAGUAUCACAAUUGCGAUACCUGAGGGCCCCCUGGUAAGCUCGCAAUUGCGAACUGGUGUUCGCAAAUGCGACACCAAAGGCUGUUGCACACAAGAUUUCUGGUUUUCAAUCCAAAACACUCUGAUACAUAUCCGAAACACACCUGAGCCCUCGGCGCUUCAACAUCCACACAAGUAUAAAAAUAUCAUAUGAGCUCGCUCGUGUGAUCAAAACACAUAAAUAACAUCUAAAACUAUGAAUUGAACUCUAAAACGCAUGAAUUUCAAAGUAAAGUUCAAAAUAUCUAGAAUUACAACUAAACGUCUAAAUCUUAUGAAAUCACCUCCAAAUGACACCACAUUUUGCAGGCAAGUUCCAAAUACCAUAACAAUUCUAUUCCAAGUCCCAAAAUCAAAUUUCGAGCUUGAUAACUAAAAGUCAACCUACAGUAAAACUUUUUAACUUCAAGUUGCCGACUUUUGGCAAAUCCACAUAAAUCAACCUAUGGACUUCCAAAAUCAAUUUCGGGCAUACGCCCAAGUCCGAAAUCACAAUAUGAAGCUAUCAGAACCAUCAAAACACAGUUCCAAGGUCAUUUUCACAAAAGUCAAAGUUUGGUCAAUAUUUCCAACUUAAACUUCUAAGUCAAGAAUCAAACGUUCCAAAUCUACUCGAAAGCUUACCGGAAAGAAACUAACAAACCCUGCAAGUCAUUAAAUCAUAAACACACAUGUGUGAAGCAUAAAAAAAAAGGAUAACGGGGUGCAAUUACACAAAAUAACCGAUUGGGUCAUUACACCAACCGCCUCUCUUUUCCUCUUUCCUCUCUAUUGUCUCAACUCCCAUCACCCUAAUCAAUCAAAAAGCCUUGCACAAAUUCAUGCAAGGUCUCACAUCACUCAUGAAAUCUUUCCCUUUACCUUAUGAAUUCGCGAAUCUCGCCGGUUUCUUCUCGCUUCAUCUCUCAAAUUCAAAAAUCCCUAAAUCCAAACCCUAGACCAAACGAUGUAAGGUCAAGUAUCCAGAAAUCUUCUAUGUUUUGUUAAAUCAGUAGCAUGCAUGGCCGUCUCCCAGUGCUAUCAUAUUAUUCUUGAUCCAUAGGUCAAACGAAGCGACCUCUGGAUAUUGAGGCUCUUACCUGAUGGAGUUUGCCUUCAACGGUCAACUUUCCCCCUCUCAGGUAAAAUCCCUACUGAUUUCCCUCUUUAUUCUUAAAUUUUCACCCAAUUAUGCUCACAUCACCACCCUUUCGUCACUCUCCACUACCGAGUUUGAUUUCUGUUGAACCUAUGGUAUUGAAUGCCACUAUAAAAUAGGUCUUUCAAUGCUCUCACCAAACAAGACCUAACACAAGAUACACAUGAAAUCUCUUAGCAAAACAAAUAUCAAAUUUAGUCUUGAGUAAUAAAAAAUCAAGCUAGGGGUUUUCUAACUAGCUCCUGAUUUAUUUUUGAUUCUGAGCUCUACACUGGUUGGAGUUUGAGUUCUUGAUUCCUAAACGGCAAACAAAAAUCCCUAUUUGGGUUGCUGCUCAAAGGAAGGUCAGUGAGCUUCGACCUUUCCUUUCCUUUAACAAUUUAGUUAAAUUAUGCCUACUCUGUUAUCUUCUGUUAAGUAGCUCUGGCCAUGAUGUGUUGUUAUUGGUUUAUAGUUGAUUAUCUUUUCUCAUAAUAUGUUAUUAUUAGUUCAUAAUCGACAUUAUGUUUUGGUACUGUUUCCCUUAAUGAUCUGAAACUAAACAAAUACUAAUCGACCACUUCAUUAUUUUAAUGAAUAUGUAGUGUAUGAUUAACAAAGAACCUUACUGAUUAUGUACUUCUACUUUGACCUUAAACUUCCCUGAUGACUUUGCUAUGGUUCUCAUGCUUACUCUAUUGAUCCUUACUUAGUGUUACUUGUUGAUUUGUAUUAUGUACUUAAGGUUAUUUAUCUGAUAAACCAAAGCUGAAAAUAGAAUAUGAAUAUUUAAGGCUAACUACAGGGUUGUUUCUUAGUUGGAAUAUAUUAGUUUAAGUUGUUUGGGUUUCUUUCUCCCUUUCAAUGUGCUUUCUGUGAUUCUGUAGCUAUUGAAAAGGUAGUGUAAUGAGUUUUUGUUAACUUUCAUGAUUGUUUUAUCAUACCAUGAGCCUUACUGUGUAAGUAUGUCCAUGAAUAUAACUUGACUAGGCUCUAAAUUAAUCUUUUUAAUUUAUUUCAUAUGUGUUCUGCCAGUCUAGCCUAAGUUGUGCCUUGAUUAUCCUUAAAAUCUUAAUAGUUGUUAUACUUGUGCAUCUUCUCUUGGUUAUACCAUGUUGCUGACACAUCUGAAACUAGAACUUCAAUCAUGUCUGUACCAAUCUACUCAACCUGUUUAAGUGGGCUCACAAUCCUACAACUAAAACUGUGCAUAUUUAAUAUGAAACAACCUAUUGUUCUGAACCCAUGUAAUUAACAUGUUGGUCUGAUUCCAUACUCUACCAUGUUGUAGUCUUGCACUCUUUAGGAAUGUCUCGUGCGUAUUUGUAUAUCUCCUAAGGGUCCUGCACUUGUACUUAUCCUGAAACAGACUUUUUCUUAUAUUUGUGCUCUCAUACUCAUGCCCAUGUUCUCAUAGGGAAAUUGAACAAUACUUACCUAGAAUAAAACUUUCAUUAUUCUGGAUUACUAUGAUGUUAGUCUAAUCCCAUAUUGUUUGGUGCUGAAUCAUGUUAUAAUGUUGUAGUCUGGUUAGAAUGUGACAUGUACAUAUCUGAAUACCAUCUGUUGGAAGUUCUAUACACAUCCCUGUUUCAGAAGGGAACUGUUGUUUGUACACCAUGUUUGUGACUGUACUUCCAUAUCAUUAAAACCUGUUAAGUUACUACAAUUUACCCAUAGACUUAGAAGUGCUCUUUUAUGUUUGCCUGCCCUAUUUGAGUGUAUGACUUUAUAUUAAACUUCUAACCAAUCUAGAUGAAAUGAAAGAUCUAUUUAGAGGUUCUGUCACUUAUUAAGUAAGUAUAUUUGCUUGUCCCUGUCUCUUAAGAACCCUGAAAUGGACUGUUAACCCUUACCAUCAGUAAGAAGUGGAGUGCCAGUCUGUGUGUAGAUAUCCAUUAAGUGUUAUAUGAUUGAGAACAUGAUUACAACUAAUGAUAAACCUGCCAGUGAGUUAGUAGGGUUAAUACACAUGAAUAUCUUCUAUUAACUAAAUGACUUACCUAUUCUAUGUUCUUGUAUUAGCGUAUUGGUGUCUCUCAUUGCUUGCUAGCGCCUAUAAUUGAUUAUGUUGACUACUCUCAAGCCUAAUAAAAGUAUAUGACAUUGUAUUAUAUGCGUGUGUGCAAACCAUGAUCUGUUUGAUAAUGUUUUAGUGUUCUGAACAGUCAUUUUCAAGAUAUGUAGAUCUCCUUAUGUGUUACCAUCACUGUUGUAUUGGAAUUUACAUUGAGUGCCUUAUUAGCACUUAAACCUUUAGAGAAGAGUAGCUGUGAGUAGUUAUGGAUAUUUGAGAGUAGAUUUUAAUUCUUGGUUGAGGUACUCUCCCUGACAGAAGUACUGCUCGGGGUCUUUGAGACCAUUGUGAACCUUGAUGUGCCAGGGAUCCAAAGGGUAUCUUGGCCAUUAACAGAAUUCUACCUUAAGCCUUUAAUCUAUUGACAUUUGCUAAUCUCUUUAGGUUUAGUAUUCAAUGGAACUAAAGGUCUCACUGUAAAUUGCCUUACUCUGUGUGACUUCACAUUAAUUUGCAUCCCUUAACUAUUGAUAAUUGUUACAGCUUUAUCUUGGGUAUACACUGAUACCAUUUGUGCAUAAAUAUUGAAUUGGGCCGUGUAUCUAAUGACCUUCACCUUUUCUUUUCUUUUUUUGCAUAAAUCUGAGUUGGGCUUGCUGAGUUCUGAAAGAACUUAGGCCCAAACUCUUAGCCCCGAACUUGGAGUCACCUAAAGUUAUUGUUGUUGUUCGUUGUUGCUGCGCCUAAUAUUCUUCAGGCCCAAACCACGAGUCCAGUUUCCUUUCCCUUAUCGCAUUUUUCAUUACGUAAUCUGUUGUUGCUUCUAUGUGUAUAUAACACUGAUGAUAUUUAGUGAAUGAUUUCCCUUUAUUAUCUUUGAAUUACUUUAGAAACCUAGGCAAGUUAAAACCAUAGGUAAAAUAAAAAGGAAUAGUUGUCUAUUAUAUAAGUUAAAUAACAUCAACAUGUUUAAUUACUUCUUCCAUAUGGUUUUAAUUUUUACUUAAACGAACCUUUUAUGAGAUUCCUUGAAGAUCAAGGUAGAUUUAAAAAGCAAGCGACUUCCCUUCUUUAAAAACCAUAAUCAAGAAAAUGAUUUCUAGGACAUUUUUUGAGAAGCAAAACAAAAAAUAGUUGCAUUCAAGGAUACUUCAAAUGAUUUUCUUCUAGACUUGGGUACAAGAUUUGAAAUCAAUCUCAAGGUAUAUGUAAAGCCUACUUCUUCAAAUAGCCUUGCUUUACUAGAGUUACAAAAGUAGUUGUUUCUUUUCUUCAAAGGUAAAAAAUAUUUUUAAACUGAGCCAUGUUUACAAGUUUACAAAUUUAGACAUUAUAGAUACCCUUCUAAAACUCUUUCAAUUAUGUAGAUAUCUUUCAAAGGACCUUUCAAAACCUAUACUCUCUUUUUCAAAGUACAUAUACUAACUUCCUUUCAAAACAAUAAGUAUAAAACAUGACAUGGUGUAAGCUAUGCACUUUUAAGUACUAACCAAUUUUAGAUGCAUACCGCCCAUAUGGCUUGAAAGGUGUGAUACCACUAGAUAGCAUCCUCACAAACCAAAUCAAAUUGGGGCCGUGGUCUCGAAGAUCCCCUCCUUGACCCGUCAACAACUUGCUUGCCUUUUGCUUUCCGAGAUGACCCCUCGUCUUGCUUGCGCUUUUUAGGAAGGGGAGCAGUAGUAGAGGACUUACCCACUCAUUUUCCUUUGUUAGAACCAUCACGAGCCAUUGCAACCUACAAAACAAUCAACUUGGAUAUGAGAAUUACUCAAGAAGUAUGCCUAGUGUUAAAGCGAAAGUCAAAGAUGACCCCACACUUAGAACCGAAGGCUCUAUGCAACAUACUCACAAUAGUUGUCCAACAAGUGCACAAGUGUUGCACCACAAGGCAACGGGUACUCAAGACUUCCCCAUGCCACACAAUUAUAUUCCAAGUAUUUUUCCAUAAACAAACAAGUAGUCAACUAUGGCCAUGACUUAGCCUUAGUGCAAGCAAGCAACACUUGAUUCCCAAUUACUACAACUAAUACAAUACACCAACUAAUUCUAACAAACGGAUACAAUAUACAUUAUACAUGAUACAAGGUGUGGGUAGUGUGAUUAUGGCAUGGUGAACAUUGAACACAAGCUUCCGGCUAUGUAAAACCACCCAAAACACCCAACACUUAGCCCAAAAUCACAUACAAACACACCCAACUACUUAGACUUUACCUGUGCACAAUUUAUUCUUUCAAGCAUUUUAUCAAACAAGUGUUGAGCAUCAAGUGUGUGCAACUCAAUUCAACAAUGGUGGAACAUAUAGACCCUCCUAAAUUUUGAACGAAGUAGAGGGAAUUAUAGAUUACUACUCCGUAUAAUACAUUCACAGUCAAUUUCACAACCCAAUUUUUCACAUUUAUACCACCCACCAUAGCAACACAAGUGCCAAAGAGAAAAAUAGGAGAAACUUAAGAGAGGGGGUCGUUUGGGAUGGGGAGGGGGAUUACAACUAACAAAAUCAAAGAAAAGAGAGAAAGAGACAACAUACCCGACUUACUGGAGGGAAGGGAGGUGAGAAAAUCUGAACUUGAGAGAAGGAGGAGGAGAAGAGAAAUCGAGCGGGGAGAAAGAAAGAGAGAGAGGUAACGAGUGAGGGUAAAUUGGUGGGUUAGUGUUAUUUUAUUUAAAUUGGGAAUGGGUAUGGGAAGUGGGCAUGGGUUAUUAGGUGAGUAUAAAUGGGUAUUCAUGUCGGGGCAAGAGGUAAUGGGUUAGUUAAGAAGUAAAAUGAAAAUAAAAAAAAUGAAAAACUUACCUGCCC